rfam:Bacillus sp. KCTC 13219 scaffold2.1, whole genome shotgun sequence.
UCCGAAGUAGCUCAGUGGUAGAGCAACCGGCUGUUAACCGGUUGGUCGCAGGUUCGAGCCCUGCCUUCGGAG